rnacentral:rRNA from 1 species
UACGUAGGAUCCGAGCGUUGUCCGGAAUUAUUGGGCGUAAAGGGCUCGUAGGCGGUUUGUCACGUCGGGCGUGAAAACUCAGGGCUCAACCCUGAGCGUGCGUUCGAUACGGGCAGACUAGAGGUAUGCAGGGGAGAACGGAAUUCCUGGUGUAGCGGUGGAAUGCGCAGAUAUCAGGAGGAACACCGGUGGCGAAGGCGGUUCUCUGGGCAUUACCUGACGCUGAGGAGCGAAAGCAUGGGGAGCGAACAGG